UACGUAGGGUGCAAGCGUUGUCCGGAAUUAUUGGGCGUAAAGAGCUCGUAGGCGGUUUGUCGCGUCGGCCGUGAAAUCUCCACGCUUAACGUGGAGCGUGCGGUCGAUACGGGCAGACUUGAGUUCGGUAGGGGAGACUGGAUUCCUGGUGUAGCGGUGGAAUGCGCAGAUAUCAGGAGGAACACCGAUGGCGAAGGCGGCCCUGGC
rnacentral:rRNA from 1 species